UCCCGCUCAAAAUGUGAUCCCCUGCCCUAAUUUCUAAACUGCCUCUCCAAUAAUCUAAGCAGACUUUCUUUCUAUGCAUUUCGAGUGCUUCGAAAGAUAACUCUCUCUCUCUCUCUCUCUCUUUAUUUACAUUUCGAGUCAACUUUGGUUGACGAUGUUCUACAACGAACAAUAGCGGGUGGGUUUCAGACGACUCAGCGGUGAUUGACGGUAUGGUAUGUUCUUCCUAUUGAAGUCUUAAAUGUUUGUUUUGCGUCAUUGUGUUUCAGUUCGAUUUUGUGAAAGAAUAUGACAGUUCCGUCAUCUCAACCGGCUAAAUCCGGCGCUGGAAAGCAGAAAAAGGUCAUAAAUCGAUCAAUCAAUGGCCCUAUAAUGGUUUGGGCCCUGAUCGCAGGCCCAUCCUGCACAUGUGGAUAGCCAGCCCUGUGUAGAUGUAUGUGCAUCUUUGUAUUGGUAAUUGUGUGGAAAUUUUAUUACAUUUCUGCAAUUGUGUAGAACUCCAGCCAUGAGGCAUUCCAACUCGCAUUUUGCAUUUUCUUUGCUGAAUGUUUUUCUCAAACUGAAAAUGGUUAUGGUUUUAAUAAGGAUAAUAGGGUCACCCUUAAUUUUCUUUCAAAAAUUAAGCUUACACAAGACCAGCCAAGAGAAUCGUUGGCUGCUGGAAUCAGGAAACAUUUGGAAACCGCCUUAUGGGUACAUGUCAUAUAGCGCUACCCCUGCCUCAUCCUUCUUAAUUCUCCAUUGCGCCAUGUCUGACUCCUCACGAGAAGCUACAUCAGUUUUACCUUUCUGUUUCUACUUCUCUUUAUAAAUCGGAAAUUUUAUCAUUCUUGUUUUUAGUUUUGCAUGAUUACACUUUCAAGCUGUCCAGCAGGGAUGGAGACAGAGACUAGGACCAGAGUUCGAGAGAUAGAGAAAGGGAGAGGAAAGGCAGAGAUAACGAUAGAGAGAGAUCAAAAUCAAGGUUGGGCUUUCUCAGAUUGCACAACUGAAGCUUUAAAGGCAAUGGUUGUGUAUGCUACACGAAGUGGUGCCAGCAUAAGGGUUAAACUCAACUUGGUCAACGCUAGGCCUGGCUUGGUUUGUUGCUAACAUGGGCCUUGCUGUGGGAAAUUGCUUCAAAGAAAUUAAAAAAGUUUUGCCACAAGGUGUCACAUUUGGUCUUGGUUGGAGGAAGAGUAGAGGAAUACUCGGCUGCAGAGGUGGAUGGCAUUCGCGAAGAUUGGUCGACUUAUGCGGCUAUCUCUAUUGUUAAGUGAAACCAUAUUUAGGUGUUGACGAAUGUAUUGACAAACUAUUUUUUUUUUUGUUAACGUUAACAUAUUUGUAACAUACUUGACAUAUGAUUAUGUAAAGGGUUGUUUUGGUAUAUAUA